AUUCAUGUGUAGGAUAGGUGGGAGACUUUGAAGCAGUGUCGCUAGAUGCUGUGGAGUCGCCCUUGAAAUACCACCCUGAUUACUUUGAGGUUCUAACUUAGACCCGUUACCCGGGUUGAGGACAGUGUGUGGUGGGUAGUUUGACUGGGGCGGUCUCCUCCCAAAGAGUAACGGAGGAGCGCGAAGGUACCCUCAGCAUGGUCGGAAAUCAUGCAAUGAGCGCAAAGGUAAAAGGGUGCUUGACUGUGAGACAGACACGUCGAACAGGUACGAAAGUAGGUCUUAGUGAUCCGGUGGUCCUGUAUGGAAGGGCCAUCGCUCAACGGAUAAAAGGUACUCCGGGGAUAACAGGCU
rnacentral:rRNA from 1 species